UACGAAGGGUGCAAACGUUGCUCGGAAUUACUGGGCGUAAAGCGCGCGUAGGCGGCUUUGCAAGUCGGGUGUGAAAGCCCUCGGCUCAACCGAGGAAGUGCGCCCGAAACUGCAGAGCUUGAGUACCGGAGAGGAUGGCGGAAUUCCCCAAGUAGAGGUGAAAUUCGUAGAUAUGGGGAGGAACACCGGUGGCGAAGGCGGCCAUCUGGACGGAUACUGACGCUGAGACGCGAAAGCGUGGGUAGCAAACAGG
rnacentral:rRNA from 1 species